GGACUACCGGGGUAUCUAAUCCUGUUUGCUCCCCACGCUUUCGUAUUUCAGCGUCAGUACCGGGCCAGUGAGCCGCCUUCGCCACUGGUGUUCUUCCGAAUAUCUACGAAUUUCACCUCUACACUCGGAGUUCCACUCACCUCUCCCGGACUCGAAGAUCGCCAGUAUCGAAGGCAGUUCCGAGGUUGAGCCUCGGGAUUUCACCCCCGACUUAACGAUCCGCCUACAUACGCUUUACGCCCAGUAAUUCCGAACAACGCUAGCCCCCUUCGUAUUACCGCGGCUGCUGGCAC
rnacentral:rRNA from 1 species